GCAUUCAGUUGCCAUCGGGUAAGUGCCGGGCACUCUGGAAGGACUGCCAUCGACAAGAUGGAGGAAGGUGGGGAGUGACGUCAAGUCAUCAUGGCCCUUAUGUCCAGGGCUACACACGUGCUACAAUGGCCGAUACAGAGGGCAGCUACCUGGUGACAGGAUGCAAAUCUCCAAAGCCGGUCUCAGUUCGGAUCGGAGUCUGCAACCCGACUCCGUGAAGUUGGAUUCGCUAGUAAUCGCGCAUCAGCCAUGGCGCGGUGAAUACGUUCCCGGGCCUU
rnacentral:rRNA from 1 species